UACGUAGGGGGCAAGCGUUGUCCGGAAUUAUUGGGCGUAAAGAGCGUGUAGGCGGCCAGUAUAAGUCCGCUGUGAAAUCUCGAAGGCUCGAACUUCGAGCUGUCGGUGGGAAACUAUCUGGCUAGAGUCCGGGAAGAGGAGAAUGGAAUUCCUGGUGUAGCGGUGAAAUGCGCAGAUAUCAGGAAGAACACCCGUGGCGAAGGCGGCUCUCUGGGACGGUACUGACGCUGAGACGCGAAAGCGUGGGGAGCGAACAGG
rnacentral:rRNA from 1 species